AGCCAACAUACUACAACUAAAGCAUUUGCCAAGGAUGUUUUCAUUGAUCAGGAGCGAAAGUCAGAGGUUCGAAGACGAUCAGAUACCGUCCUAGUUCUGACCAUAAACGAUGCCAACUGACGAUCCGUGGUGGCGAUUAUGCCCCGGCGGGCAGUCCCCGGGAAACUUAAGUCUUUGGGCUCCGGGGGAAGUAUGGUUGCAAAGCUGAAACUUAAAGGAAUUGACGGAAGGGCACCACCAGGAGUGGAGCCUGCGGCUUAAUUCGACUCAACACGGGAAAACUCACCCGGCCCGGACACUGUGAGGAUUGACAGAUUGAUAGCUCUUUCUUGAUUCGGUGGUUGGUGGUGCAUGGCCGUUCUUAGUUGGUGGAGCGAUUUGUCUGGUUAAUUCCGAUAACGAACGAGACUUUGGCCUGCUAAAUAGUCGCCUGGUCCUCUUGCUCGUGCAGGUGGCGAACAUUGCCUCUCGGGGUAGUGUUUCGUUUGGCCGCGCGGGUGCGGGCAGGUGUUACUCUUAGAGGGACAGG
rnacentral:rRNA from 1 species